AAACAUCUAAGUACCCCGAGGAAAAGAAAUCAACCGAGAUUCCCCCAGUAGCGGCGAGCGAACGGGGAGGAGCCCAGAGCCUGAAUCAGCAUGUGUGUUAGUGGAAGCGUCUGGAAAGGCGCGCGAUACAGGGUGACAGCCCCGUACACAAAAGCGCAUGUGCUGUGAGCUCGAUGAGUAGGGCGGGACACGUGGUAUCCUGUCUGAAUAUGGGGGGACCAUCCUCCAAGGCUAAAUACUCCUGACUGACCGAUAGUGAACCAGUACCGUGAGGGAAAGGCGAAAAGAACCCCGGCGAGGGGAGUGAAAAAGAACCUGAAACCGUGUACGUACAAGCAGUGGGAGCACCCUUUGGGGUGUGACUGCGUACCUUUUGUAUAAUGGGUCAGCGACUUAUAUUCUGUAGCAAGGUUAACCGAAUAGGGGAGCCGGAGGGAAACCGAGUCUUAACCGGGCGUUAAGUUGCAGGGUAUAGACCCGAAACCCGGUGAUCUAGCCAUGGGCAGGUUGAAGGUUGGGUAACACUAACUGGAGGACCGAACCGACUAAUGUUGAAAAAUUAGCGGAUGACCUGUGGCUGGGGGUGAAAGGCCAAUCAAACCGGGAGAUAGCUGGUUCUCCCCGAAAGCUAUUUAGGUAGCGCCUCGUGAAUUCAUCUCCGGGGGUAGAGCACUGUUUCGGCUAGGGGGCCAUCCCGGCUUACCAACCCGAUGCAAACUGCGAAUACCGGAGAAUGUUAUCACGGGAGACACACGGCGGGUGCUAACGUCCGUCGUGAAGAGGGAAACAACCCAGACCGCCAGCUAAGGUCCCAAAGUCAUGGUUAAGUGGGAAACGAUGUGGGAAGGCCCAGACAGCCAGGAUGUUGGCUUAGAAGCAGCCAUCAUUUAAAGAAAGCGUAAUAGCUCACUGGUCGAGUCGGCCUGCGCGGAAGAUGUAACGGGGCUAAACCAUGCAC
rnacentral:rRNA from 1 species